UACGUAGGUCCCGAGCGUUGUCCGGAUUUAUUGGGCGUAAAGCGAGCGCAGGUGGUUUAUUAAGUCUGGUGUAAAAGGCAGUGGCUCAACCAUUGUAUGCAUUGGAAACUGGUAAACUUGAGUGCAGGAGAGGAGAGUGGAAUUCCUAGUGUAGCGGUGAAAUGCGUAGAUAUUAGGAGGAACACCAGUUGCGAAGGCGGCUCUCUGGACUGUAACUGACACUGAGGCACGAAAGCGUGGGGAGCAAACAGG
rnacentral:rRNA from 1 species